GAUGAACGCUAGCUACAGGCUUAACACAUGCAAGUCGAGGGGAAACGACAUCGAAAGCUUGCUUUUGAUGGGCGUCGACCGGCGCACGGGUGAGUAACGCGUAUCCAACCUGCCCACCACUUGGGGAUAACCUUGCGAAAGUAAGACUAAUACCCAAUGACGUCUCUAGAAGACAUCUGAAAGAGAUUAAAGAUUUAUCGGUGAUGGAUGGGGAUGCGUCUGAUUAGCUUGUUGGCGGGGUAACGGCCCACCAAGGCGACGAUCAGUAGGGGUUCUGAGAGGAAGGUCCCCCACAUUGGAACUGAGACACGGUCCAAACUCCUACGGGAGGCAGCAGUGAGGAAUAUUGGUCAAUGGACGAGAGUCUGAACCAGCCAAGUAGCGUGCAGGAUGACGGCCCUAGGGGUUGUAAACUGCUUUUAUAAGGGAAUAAAGUGAGUCUCGAGAGACUUUUUGCAUGUACCUUAUGAAUAAGGACCGGCUAAUUCCGUG
rnacentral:rRNA from 1 species